GAGCGGCGUACGGGUGCGGAACACGUGUGCAACCUGCCUUUAUCAGGGGGAUAGCCUUUCGAAAGGAAGAUUAAUACCCCAUAAUAUUUAAGAUGGCAUCAUUUUAAAUUGAAAACUACGGUGGAUAAAGAUGGGCACGCGCAAGAUUAGAUAGUUGGUGAGGUAACGGCUCACCAAGUCAGUGAUCUUUAGGGGGCCUGAGAGGGUGAUCCCCCACACUGGUACUGAGACACGGACCAGACUCCUACGGGAGGCAGCAGUGAGGAAUAUUGGACAAUGGGUGAGAGCCUGAUCCAGCCAUCCCGCGUGAAGGACGACGGCCCUAUGGGUUGUAAACUUCUUUUGUAUAGGGAUAAACCUAGAUACGUGUAUCUAGCUGAAGGUACUAUACGAAUAAGCACCGGCUAACUCCGUGCCAGCAGCCGCGGUAAUACGGAGGGUGCAAGCGUUAUCCGGAUUUAUUGGGUUUAAAGGGUCCGUAGGCGGAUCAGUAAGUCAGUGGUGAAAUCUCAUAGCUCAACUAUGAAACUGCCAUUGAUACUGUUGGUCUUGAGUAAGGUAGAAGUAGCUGGAAUAAGUAGUGUAGCGGUGAAAUGCAUAGAUAUUACUUAGAACACCAAUUGCGAAGGCAGGUUACUAUGUCUUAACUGACGCUGAUGGACGAAAGCGUGGGGAGCGAACAGGAUUAGAUACCCUGGUAGUCCACGCUGUAAACGAUGCUAACUCGUUUUUGGGCUUUCGGGUUCAGAGACUAAGCGAAAGUGAUAAGUUAGCCACCUGGGGAGUACGAACGCAAGUUUGAAACUCAAAGGAAUUGACGGGGGCCCGCACAAGCGGUGGAUUAUGUGGUUUAAUUCGAUGAUACGCGAGGAACCUUACCAAGGCUUAAAUGGGAAUUGAUCGGUUUAGAAAUAGACCUUCCUUCGGGCAAUUUUCAAGGUGCUGCAUGGUUGUCGUCAGCUCGUGCCGUGAGGUGUUAGGUUAAGUCCUGCAACGAGCGCAACCCCUGUUACUAGUUGCUACCAUUAAGUUGAGGACUCUAGUAAGACUGCCUACGCAAGUAGAGAGGAAGGUGGGGAUGACGUCAAAUCAUCACGGCCCUUACGCCUUGGGCCACACACGUAAUACAAUGGCCGGUACAGAGGGCAGCUACACAGCGAUGUGAUGCAAAUCUCGAAAGCCGGUCUCAGUUCGGAUUGGAGUCUGCAACUCGACUCUAUGAAGCUGGAAUCGCUAGUAAUCGCGCAUCAGCCAUGGCGCGGUGAAUACGUUCCCGGGCCUUGUACACACCGCCCGUCAAGCC
rnacentral:rRNA from 1 species